rnacentral:rRNA from 1 species
UACGUAGGGUGCAAGCGUUAAUCGGAAUUACUGGGCGUAAAGCGUGCGCAGGCGGUUUUGUAAGUCUGUCGUGAAAUCCCCGGGCUCAACCUGGGAAUUGCGUUGGAGACUGCAAGGCUAGAAUCUGGCAGAGGGGGGUAGAAUUCCACGUGUAGCAGUGAAAUGCGUAGAGAUGUGGAGGAACACCGAUGGCGAAGGCAGCCCCCCUGGGUCAAGAUUGGACGCUCAU